AACACCUCCCUUGGGGCCAGCAGGAGGGAGUUCCCAUCCUAAACCUUCCCGGAGGAACUUUCCAGCCUCUGCAGGGGAGAGGAGAGGCCUUGAGGUGGGGUCCACUGCUGGCAGCCCCACUUGGCAUCGAUGGCUGUCUAGAGAUGGGGGGCGCUAGGCUCUCUCCCCCCACCUCCCUCAGGCCUGAAGAAGGUCAUGGAAGUUGUCAUUGGAGAGAAGCGCUUUCGCUGUGAGGCCAAGCACCAUGAUGGGCAGACUCCGUGCUGGGAUCAGCUUGCACUUGUGGGAAAAGACUGACCGGUAACCUCUGCUCCGAAGCUCGCCCUGCAGUGCCCCAAACGUCAGGGCCGGGAUUGGCUAAGUAACCCCGGGCAUCCUUUCCCUGCUCCGCGUUCAUCUGUUAGAGGAAAAUCUCCAAGCUAAGGAGUUGUUCAAAUGAAGGAAACAUCUCCAAGCUGAGUAAACACGGAAAGACACAGAAUAUGCCCUGUUUCCUACCAUCAAAGGAGGGACUUGAUUUUGCUGUGGGCUUUUGUUCAAUCUGAACAGUCACAAUAGAGGAGCUCUGGUAUUCCCUUUCACUGUUGCCUUGAACGCCAUCUCCUGACUUCCAGUGCAGACUGGGCAACUUCCGGCUCGGAUCCUUCAGCCUUCCGGCGUAGAUUCUUCAGCCUUCCGUUGGUCAGACCCAUCGGCCACCUGAUACAGACUUGCAUGGGACACUGCAGCAUGCUCCAGACCUUGGACUGGACCCUAGGGUGUCAGUGUGCAGACACCCUCUGCACGCUUCCUCAUCCGACUGGGUGGCUGACCAUCAUAAGCCAGUCCUGCAGUUUCUUACACACUGUGUAUCUUGUGUUACAAAUGUUUCUCUAGUAAACCCUGACUGAUAUGUGGUGAUUUUUUAGGCAACAUUCAGUAUCUGGUUAUGGAAUUGACCACCGAUUUUAAAUUUUCUUUAACAUUGUUUUAAAUAACAUUUUAAAAAUUUACAUUUUUAAAGUUUUUAUUUGAAAUGAAUAGUUUCAAUACCUGUCCCUAAAUAUAAUUUCACUUCCAGAGGGAGUGUUUCUGCGCUGAAUUUUGUUUUCUCUUUGGCUUCCUCAAUUUGCAAUCACUGCCUGCGCUUGAAAUGUUUUCUUAAUGAAACACGUGAAAGAGAGAAUCCACAAAUAUUCGGGGCCCUUGUACUUGGUGCCAGACAGUUUGCCUGGUCCUGGCCAGUUUGCCCUGUUGUGUACUUGCCCAGUGGCCAUCCUGACCUCUUCCCUGAGACCUGCCUUGCCCUGCAUGUGGCAGAGCUUCCCGCCAGAAUCAGUUCCCAAACAUUUCCAUCACUUGGCCCAUAGCAACGACAGAACAAAUACCUCCAAACCUGGAGACCAAACUCUUCGUUCACUCGCAAACCAGUGCCAACACAAAUGGUGCCAGGCUUGCAUGGGGUGACAGCCCUCCCCUGGCAGGUCAGAGGCACAGCUGUGACUCAGCAGCCUGCCUCACGUCACCCAGAGGUGGGCCCAGAAUUCAAGUUCACUUUGCCACUUGAGUGUCACACUUUUCCCAUUCA